GGGGCCGGGGCGGACGGCAGGACCUCCACCCACGUCUGGGCCCCAGGCCGCAAGCCCCUUUCCGCGGCUUUCCGGUGGCAGAGGCCGGGAGCAAGGAUUAGGCGAGCUGUUGCUAGGGGGCGUGGCCGGCGGUUGCUGGGCUCGGGGGACGUUGCUAAGCAACGCUGGGCGGGGCUCACGUUGCUAGGCCCGAGUAGCAGUCCCCAGGGACUGGAGAGGCACCCAGCUCCCCUCGGCUUCAGGGGCAGGCGCCCCUCGAAGCUGCUUUCUUGCGACUCUCUUCGGGCCUCAGCUGCCCUGGGCUGGACGCCGUCUCCGAGGGGCCUUCCGGGGCACACCCUCCGAGACGGGAUCCUCUGGGCUCUGGAGCCGGGAACCCGGGGCCUUUGUGCACGUGUCUAUGCGCUUGCUGGAGCGGUAGAGGGGGCGGGGGUGUCGCAUUUGGGUUUCCAUAGCAACCGCUCCUGUGUCAUCCCAUUUCUCCCAAAGGUUUUGAGCGGCGGCGUGUAGACAUUUACAUAUAUCUGCAUGUCAUUAGCAUAGAGGCGGGGCCGGAACUUGUUCGGGCAACUAUCCCUGGACGGUUCCCUUUGCUUCUCUCUCAUCCCGCCUGAGGGGCACAUGGGCCGCGCAUGCCUCAAGACUUGACAACUAAACACCAGGAAGAGUUUCCAGAUGUCAGGAUUCAAGGCACAGGAUGAGGACUACUGGUUUGCCUGUUUGUCCUUGGAGGCUGGAGGCUAGGAACUUCCAGCCCCUCUAGUGGGACUCGGCACU